rnacentral:tRNA from 1 species
GGAGGGGUUCCCGAGCGGCAAAGGGAUCAGACUGUAAAUCUGACGGCUUAGCCUUCGUAGGUUCGAGUCCUACCCCCUCCACCA